rnacentral:rRNA from 1 species
ACCCGCUGAACUUAAGCAUAUCAAUAAGCGGAGGAAAAGAAACUAACAAGGAUUCCCCUAGUAACGGCGAGUGAAGCGGGAAGAGCUCAAAUUUGAAAUCUGGCACUUUCAGUGUCCGAGUUGUAAUCUCGAGAAGUGUUUUCCGCGCCGGACCGCAUACAAGUCUGUUGGAAUACAGCGUCAUAGUGGUGAGAACCCCGUAACUGAUGCGGAUGCCCGGUGCUUUGUGAUACACUUUCGAAGAGUCGAGUUGUUUGGGAAUGCAGCUCAAAAUGGGAGGUAAAUUCCUUCUAAAGCUAAAUAUUGGCGAGAGACCGAUAGCGAACAAGUACCGUGAGGGAAAGAUGAAAAGCACUUUGGAAAGAGAGUUAACAGUACGUGAAAUUGUUGGAAGGGAAACGCUUGAAGUCAGACUUGCUAUUCGGAGUUCAGCCGCAAGGUGUAUUCUUCGAUUUGCAGGCCAGCAUCAGUUUUCGGGGAUGGAAAAUCGUGGUUUGAAGGUAGCAGCUUCGGCUGUGUUAUAGCUUUCCACUGGAUUCAUCUUUGGGGACUGAGGAACGCAGCACGCUUUUUGCAAGGCCCUCGGGCUUUUCGUGCUUAGGAUGCUGGUGGAAUGGCUUUAAACGACCCGUCUUGAAACACGG